rnacentral:rRNA from 1 species
GACGAACGCUGGCGGCGUGCUUAACACAUGCAAGUCGAACGGAAAGGCCCUGCUUUUGUGGGGUGCUCGAGUGGCGAACGGGUGAGUAACACGUGAGUAACCUGCCCUUGACUUUGGGAUAACUUCAGGAAACUGGGGCUAAUACCGGAUAGGAGCCCCUGCUGCAUGGUAGGGGUUGGAAAGUUUCGGCGGUUGGGGAUGGACUCGCGGCUUAUCAGCUUGUUGGUGGGGUAGUGGCUUACCAAGGCUUUGACGGGUAGCCGGCAUGGGAGGGUGACCGGCCACAUUGGGACUGAGAUACGGCCCAGACUCCUACGGGAGGCAGCAGUGGGGAAUAUUGCACAAUGGGCGGAAGCCUGAUGCAGCAACGCCGCGUGCGGGAUGACGGCCUUCGGGUUGUAAACCGCUUUCGCCUGUGACGAAGCGUGAGUGACGGUAAUGGGUAAAGAAGCACCGGCUAACUACGUG